rnacentral:rRNA from 1 species
UGGUCAAGUUAUUAAGGGUGCAGGGCGGAUGCCUUGGCACUAGGAGCCGAUGAAGGACGUGAUAAGCUGCGAUAAGCUUCGGGGAGUUGCACGUAAACUUUGAUCCGAAGAUUUCCGAAUGAGGAAACUCACUUAGAGUAAUGUCUAAGUAUCAUUAAGUGAAUACAUAGCUUAAUGAGGGGAACUCAGGGAACUGAAACAUCUAAGUACCUGAAGGAAGAGAAAGAAAUUCGAUUCCGUAAGUAGCGGCGAGCGAACGCGGAUUAGCCCAAACCAAUAAAGUUUUCUUUAUUGGGGUUGAGGACAUACCACAUAUAAGAGGUCCGUCAUUAUAGACGAAGAAGUUUGGAAAAACUCAUCAUAGAAGGUAAUAAUCCUGUAGUCAAAAUAAUAAUUCUUUAGGUAUGAUCCAGAGUACCACGGGACACGUGAAACCCUGUGGGAAGCAGGAGGGACCACCCUCCAAGGCUAAAUACUACCUAGUGACCGAUAGCGUAUAGUACCGUGAGGGAAAGGUGAAAAGAACCCCGGGAGGGGAG